rfam:Streptomyces mangrovisoli strain MTSC 149 58, whole genome shotgun sequence.
AGCUACGAGUUCCGGUGUCCAAGCCCUGGCUGGCCGGACGGCAACCCUCGACGCAGUGGGGUGCCCCAGGUGACGGCUCGGCGGAUCUCAUGUUUCUGCAAGUGCGCUCA